rnacentral:lncRNA from 1 species
GGCGAGUAGUCUUGACCUUCUAUAUUAUUUUUCUCAGGUUUUGGACAAGUCUAUGGUCAGAGACCCAGGAUUCAUCACAGAUAAGAGAGGUGAGGAUACAGAUGUGUAUUGAAUAUUCCAAGCUUUCAACAUGGAUGAAAAAUUGCACAUAUGUAGUCUCCCCUCCCCCAGCCUGAAACCUGCUUGUUCUGGGGUGGAGCUUCCUGCUCAUUCGUUCUGCCAUGCCCACUGCUAGAACCUGCCGCCUUGCUGUUCUGAAGCCAUCACGUGCUCACCCUGCUACUGGAUCCGAGAUUAUUUGGCGGGAAUCGGGUCCCCUCCCCCUUCCUUCAUAACUGAGUGUUGCAACAGUAAAAAUGGAGCUUUGAUCAGACUUUUGACUUGGCUUCGUUCUUUCUUCCGCCCGUCUAGUUCUUCUCUUUCAGCCCG